UUUUAAUGAAUAACUCGAUAUUUGUAUAGUCGAGUUAGUCUGACACUUCGAAUUUUUCCCAAUAAAAAAAUGUUUGUGUAGACGGUCAUAACUCGGGAAACUGGAAAUCGAGUUCUUUUCAGCGGUUUGAAUCAAUAGGACCCUAACGUCUCACAACGCUAUUCAGUCACUCGCUCUCCCUGUACACUCUCUUUCCCUCGCUCUCUGCCAUCACUCUCUCUCCACACUCUGUCUCUCUCGCUCUGCGAUCAGGCUUCCCCACUCUUCCUCGAGUCUCCAUCAGUCGUCGUUGGUUCCCGCCGCCGCUGAUUACAGAUAUGCAGGCACUAGAUAGAGUGCGGCCUGGACCCGAUGUGGAUACCCAGUUGUCCCAGCAGCCGAAUCAUCGGUCAAGUCCGCUUUGGAGGUGCGCCGCUGACGAGGAGGCGCCUGGCAUGAUAAAGGUUCGACGCCG